rnacentral:rRNA from 1 species
AUUGAACGCUGGCGGCAGGCCUAACACAUGCAAGUCGAGCGGUUGAGGUAGCUUGCUACCGAAGCAGCGGCGAACGGGUGAGUAAUACAUGGGAAUCUGCCUGGUAGUGGGGGACAACGUUUCGAAAGGAACGCUAAUACCGCAUACGACCUACGGGGGAAAGGGGGGGACCUUCGGACCUCUCGCUAUCAGAGGAGACAAUGUCGGAUUAGCUAGUUGGUAGGGUAAAGGCCUACAAAGGCGACGAUCCGUAACUGGUCUGAGAGGAUGAUCAGUCACACUGGAACUGAGACACGGUCCAGACUCCUACGGGAGGCAGCAGUGGGGAAUAUUGGACAAUGGGGGCAACCCUGAUCCAGCCAUGCCGCGUGUGUGAAGAAGGCCUUAGGGUUGUAAAGCACUUUCAGUGGGGAGAAAAGUAAUUCACCUAAUACGUGAGUUAAUUGAUGUUACCCACAGAAGAAGCACCGGCUAACUCCGUGCCAGCAGCCGCCGUAAUAC